rnacentral:rRNA from 1 species
GAUGAACGCUGGCGGCGUGCCUAACACAUGCAAGUCGAGCGAACAGACGAGGAGCUUGCUCCCCUGACGUUAGCGGCGGACGGGAGAGUAACACGUGGAUAACCUACCUAUAAGACAGGGAUAACUUCGGGAAACCGGAGCUACUUCCGGACAAUAUAUUGCAUCGCAUGGUUCAAUAGUGAAAGACGGUUUUGCUGUCACUUAUAGAUGGAUCCGCCCCGCAUUCGCUAGUUGGUAAGGUAACGGCUUACCAAGGCAACGAUGCGUAGCCGACCUGAGAGGGAGGUCGGCCACCCGGGAACUGAGACACGGUCCAGACUCCUGCAGUGAGAAGCAGUAGGGAAUCCUCCGGAAGGGACGAGUGCGUGACGGUGCAACGCGGCGUGAAUUAUGAAGGUCCUCGGCUCGUAAAGCUCUGUAAUUAGGGAAGAAGAAAAGUGUAAGUAACUAGGCACAUCUUGACGGUACCUAAUCAGAAAGCCACGGCUAACUACGUG